rnacentral:rRNA from 1 species
UACGUAGGGUGCAAGCGUUGUCCGGAAUUAUUGGGCGUAAAGAGCUCGUAGGCGGUCUGUCGCGUCUGCUGUGAAAACUCAGGGCUUAACCCUGAGCUUGCAGUGGGUACGGGCAGACUAGAGUGCGGUAGGGGGAGACUGGAAUUCCUGGUGUAGCGGUGAAAUGCGCAGAUAUCAGGAGGGAACACCGGUGGCGAAGGCGGGUCUCUGGGCCGUAACUGACGC